rnacentral:rRNA from 1 species
UCAUCCUCAGUUCGGACUGGGGUCUGCAACCCCGACCCCACGAAGCUGGAUUCGCUAGUAAUCGCGCAUCGGCCAUGGCGCGGUGAAUACGUUCCCGGGUCUUGUACACACCGCCCGUCACACCAUGGGAGUCGGAAAUGCCCGAAGCCGGUGACUCAACCUGCAAAGGAGAGAGCCGUCGAAGGCAGGUCUGAUAACUGGGGUGAAGUCGUAACAAGGUAAC